rnacentral:rRNA from 1 species
UACUCCUACGGGAGGCAGCAGUGAGGAAUAUUGGGCAAUGCCCGUAAGGGUGACCCAGCAACGCCGCGUGGAGGAUGAAGGCCGUAAGGUUGUAAACUCCUGUUAGAGGAGAAGAAUAGUACCGGUUGGACCGGUAUAUGACUGUACCCUCAGAGAAAGCCCCGGCUAACUACGUGCCAGCAGCCGCGGUAAUA